rnacentral:rRNA from 1 species
UUCACCCUGUGACAUACCUAAAACGUUGCUUCGGCGGGAACAGACGGCCCUGUAACAACGGGCCGCCCCCGCCAGAGGACCCCUAACUCUGUUUUUAUAAUGUUUUUCUGAGUAAACAAGCAAAUAAAUUAAAACUUUCAACAACGGAUCUCUUGGCUCUGGCAUCGAUGAAGAACGCAGCGAAAUGCGAUAAGUAAUGUGAAUUGCAGAAUUCAGUGAAUCAUCGAAUCUUUGAACGCACAUUGCGCCCGCCAGUAUUCUGGCGGGCAUGCCUGUUCGAGCGUCAUUACAACCCUCAGGCCCCCGGGCCUGGCGUUGGGGAUCGGCAGAAGCCCCCUGUGGGCACACGCCGUCCCUCAAAUACAGUGGCGGUCCCGCCGCAGCUUCCAUUGCGUAGUAGCUAACACCUCGCAACUGGAGAGCGGCGCGGCCAUGCCGUAAAACACCCAACUUCUGAAUGUUGACCUCGAAUCAGGUAGGAAUACCCGCUGAACUUAAGCAUAUCAAUAAGCGGAGGAA